GUACGGGAGGCAGCAGUGGGGAAUAUUGCACAAUGGGCGCAAGCCUGAUGCAGCGACGCCGCGUGGGGGAUGACGGCCUUCGGGUUGUAAACCUCUUUCACCAUCGACGAAGGUCCGGGUUUUCUCGGAUUGACGGUAGGUGGAGAAGAAGCACCGGCCAACUACGUGCCAGCAGCCGCGGUAAUACGUAGGGUGCGAGCGUUGUCCGGAAUUACUGGGCGUAAAGAGCUCGUAGGUGGUUUGUCGCGUUGUUCGUGAAAUCUCACGGCUUAACUGUGAGCGUGCGGGCGAUACGGGCAGACUAGAGUACUGCAGGGGAGACUGGAAUUCCUGGUGUAGCGGUGGAAUGCGCAGAUAUCAGGAGGAACACCGGUGGCGAAGGCGGGUCUCUGGGCAGUAACUGACGCUGAGGAGCGAAAGCGUGGGGAGCGAACAGGAUUAGAUACCCCGGUAGUCCU
rnacentral:rRNA from 1 species